rnacentral:lncRNA from 1 species
CCGUACACGAUACCCGGCGCGUGUCCUCUUGGUCUGCGUUCCGCUACCCCGCGCUGCGAGGUAUACCGAAAAGUUCCCUCUCAUAUUCGGCUGUCGUGUUUCUGGACGAAGGGAAAUGGAUGGUGGGCGAGGUGGGGCCGUGGGGGUGUAACGCGCGACUACCUUGAGCCGAGAUGACUGCUCUGGGUGCGUACGAACGCAGAAACGCGGGCCGAUUUUCGCGGGGCUCGAACGGGGGAGACGGGGAGUGGCCAGGCGAGGCGAGGGCGAAUUUUGAGGAGACCCCCGAAAUUUAGGUAGGAUUUUAGGUUUCGCGGUGUAGAUUAUGUAGUAGUUAGGACCUCCUUGUUGAUUGUAUCCACGUGGCCAUGUGGAAGCGUAGCUUGAGUGCAAAUCUGACUAUUGCUUUUGUUGGUUUAUAAUCAGUAAUGUUUUUGUUGGUUUUGCUGCUUUUGGGAGGUUAAGGUUUCUGGACAUAAUUUCUGAAUGCUUGUUGUUUCGAGCUAGUAGUAGUUAUUUACAAUGCCUCUGAAGUUUGAAUUCAGAUGAAUGUCAGACAAGAGCAUGGAUUCUUGUUAAUAACUCUGCAUGUUAGUUUAACAAUUGUACUACACUAUUCUAGUCUAAUUUGCGAUGAAAUUUUAUCUGUUUUUAACCAUGAGAAUGUCCAUACUGAACAAAUAUGCAUAGAGAUAUCCCUGGAAAAUGUAUCAAACUGAUUAUCUGUUAUUAUCCCAGUUUUACUCUAGUAUCUAUCCUCUGGCAUUGCAAGUUCAUUUUAUACUUGCGAAGUAAUCCUGAAUAUGCACUAUGCAGGUGCUUUACCUGUCUCAUGCAUCUGAUUCAGCCGAAUCUGGAUGACAAUUUGCUAGUUCUGUGACUUCUUGCCAUGGUAUGUUUAGCAGGGAAGAGUCCUUCCUAAAGAGCACAAUUGUGUUGUAUGUGGGUGACAUGGCAAGCACACAUGUGGCCAAAUAAUGGAAGCUUUUGACUCUGUUAAUGCUAGGUAUCUGCAAAGAAACAGUUAUGUUCCCAGUUGGCAAAAUCCUUAGUUGUUCAAAUGUGCAGUUGUGGCACUUAUGGACUAGCAAGGACCAUUUGCAGUUGCUCCUGUUGGUGGAAGAGCAAGCAAUAGUGCUUCAAAAGGAUCUACCUUUUAAAACUUCUCUAUGGCGAUCCUUUGCCCCAGAAAUGCAGAAAUUGAGAUGUGUGAUAGUUGGUACCACUAUCUAUAGUAGGCUGGUUGAUCCUACAAUGUUGAACCUUAUAAUCUUCUGCACCCUUGUUUGGAUGAUUUAGAUUGUUUAAAGUCAAUGACAUUUAGGUAUUUAGGCCAUGUAACUCUUCCGAGCACUUCCACAAGGCCUAAUUGCGUCAUUUUAACCAGGUUGUGAUGUCUCUGCAUUCAGCAGCA